GAGAGGAGCUGUCCUUAGUACGAGAGGACCAGGAUGGACGGACCUCUGGUGUGUGGGUUGUUCUGCCAAGAGCAGUGCCCAGUAGCUAUGUUCGGACGGGAUAACCGCUGAAAGCAUCUAAGCGGGAAACCCACCUCAAGAUUAGGUCUCCCUGUCGAGAAAUCGGCACUAAAGGUCUGUGGUAGACUACCACGUUGAUAGGCUGGGUGUGUAAGUCCGGUGACGGAUUAAGCUAACCAGUACUAAUAGACCGUGUGCCUUGACCAG
rnacentral:rRNA from 1 species